rnacentral:rRNA from 1 species
AUUGAACGCUGGCGGCAGGCCUAACACAUGCAAGUCGAGCGGAUGAAGGGAGCUUGCUCCUGGAUUCAGCGGCGGACGGGUGAGUAAUGCCUAGGAAUCUGCCUGGUAGUGGGGGAUAACGUCCGGAAACGGGCGCUAAUACCGCAUACGUCCUGAGGGAGAAAGUGGGGGAUCUUCGGACCUCACGCUAUCAGAUGAGCCUAGGUCGGAUUAGCUAGUUGGUGGGGUAAAGGCCUACCAAGGCGACGAUCCGUAACUGGUCUGAGAGGAUGAUCAGUCACACUGGGAAUUAGACAAGGGCCAAACUCCUGCGGGGGGGGGCAGGGGGGGAAAUUUGAAAAUUGGGGGAAACCCGAUCCCACCCUUGCGGGGGGGUUGAAGAAGGCUUGCGGUUGUAAAACCAUUUUAAGUUGGAAGAAAGGGAAGUAAGUAAAACCCUGGCUUUUUGAACGUACCCAAAAAAAAAAGCACCGGCAAAUUUCGU